rnacentral:rRNA from 1 species
CCCUUCCUUGUUUACCCCGCCUAUAUACCACCGUCGUCAGCUUACCCUGUGAAGGCCCAACAGUAAGCGAAAUUGGCAUGCCCCAAAACGUCAGGUCGAGGUGUAGCGCAUGGAAGGGGAAGAAAUGGGCUACAUUCACUACACCAGUGAACACGGAUAGUGCAUUGAAAUAUGCACUUGAAGGAGGAUUUAGCAGUAAGUAGAAAGCAGAGUGUUCCACUGAAAAUGGCCCUGAAGCGCGCACACACCGCCCGUCACUCUCCCCGAGCUCCCCCAAACCUAACUAACUAAAAUCAACAUUCGCAAUUAGGGGAGGCAAGUCGUAACAUGGUAAGUGUACCGGAAGGUGUACUUGGAAUAUA